AUUGAACGCUGGCGGCAGGCCUAACACAUGCAGGUCGAGCGCGAAAGUUCUUCGGAAUGAGUAAAGCGGCGGACGGGUGAGUAAUACAUGGGAAUCUGCCUGGUAGUGGGGGACAACGUUUCGAAAGGAACGCUAAUACCGCAUACGCCCUACGGGGGAAAGGGGGGGAUCUUCGGAUCUCUCGCUAUCAGAUGAGCCCA
rnacentral:rRNA from 1 species